rnacentral:rRNA from 1 species
AGAGGCCGCGGCUAUCCGGCUGGGACUAAGCCAUGCUAGUCAAGGGGCUUGUACCCUUCGGGGUGCAAGCACCGGCGGACGGCUCAGUAACACGUGGACAACCUGCCCUCGGGAGGGGGAUAACCCUGGGAAACUGGGGCUAAUCCCCCAUAGGAGAUGGGUACUGGAAUGUCCCAUCUCCGAAAGCGCUUAGCGCCCGAGGAUGGGUCUGCGGCGGAUUAGGUAGUUGGCGGGGUAACGGCCCGCCAAGCCGAAGAUCCGUACGGGCUGUGGGAGCAGGAGCCCGGAGAUGGACCCUGAGACAAGGGUCCAGGCCCUACGGGGCGCAGCAGGCGCGAAACCUCCGCAAUGCGGGAAACCGCGACGGGGUUAGCCGGAGUGUCCGUGCAUCGCACGGACUGUCGGGGAGCCUAAACAGCUCCCCAUAGC